rnacentral:rRNA from 1 species
UACGUAGGGACCAAGCGUUGUUCGGAUUUACUGGGCGUAAAGGGCGCGUAGGCGGCUUAACAAGUCACUUGUGAAAUCUCCGGGCUUAACUCGGAACGGCCAAGUGAAACUGUCAAGCUAGAGUGCAGAAGGGGCAAUCGGAAUUCUUGGUGUAGCGGUGAAAUGCGUAGAUAUCAAGAGGAACACCGGUGGCGAAGGCGGGAUCCUGGGCCAGUACUGACGCUGAGACGCGAAAGCGUGGGGAGCAAACAGG